rnacentral:tRNA from 1 species
UAGAAUAGUAUUUAAUUUUAUAAAAUCUAACCUGCAAUUAGAAAUUGCCUUAGCCUAUUCUAA